rnacentral:rRNA from 1 species
ACGGCCGUCCGAGUUGUAAUCUAGAGAAGUGUUUUCCGCGCUGGACCGUGUACAAGUCCUUUGGAACAAGGCGUCAUAGAGGGUGAGAAUCCCGUCUACGACACGGACUGCCAAGCGCUUUGUGAUACACUCUCAACGAGUCGAGUUGUUUGGGAAUGCAGCUCAAAAUGGGUGGUAAAUUCCAUCUAAAGCUAAAUAUUGGCGAAAGACCGAUAGCGAACAAGUACCGUGAGGGAAAGAUGAAAAGCACUUUGGAAAGAGAGUUAAACAGUACGUGAAAUUGUUGAAAGGGAAACGCUUGAAGUCAGUCGCGUCUUCAGAAAUUCAGCUGGGCUUCUGCCUAGUGUACUUUUCUGUGGGACGGGCCAGCAUCAGUUUUGGCUGCCAGAAAAAGGUCGGAGGAAGGUGGCACCCUCGGGUGUGUUAUAGCCUCUGAUCGUAUGUGGCAGCCGGGAUUGAGGACCGCAGCACGCCUUUUGGCCGGGGUUCGCCCACGUAACGUGCUUAGGAUGCUGGCGUAAUGGCUUUAAACGACCCGUCUUGAAACACGGACCAAGGAGUCUAACAUGCCUGCGAGUAUUUGGGUGGCAAACCCAUGUGCGGAAUGAAAGUGAACAGUUGGGACUUCUGUCAUGGAAGGCA